GGCUGACCCUAAUCUCCCACUUCUUAUCUCUAUGAGAGAUUUCUAAGCCUUUCAGUCCUCCUAAGUGAGCAAGGCACCUUGUCUCUGCAUACCCUGCCAUAGCAGCUUGAAUAACACAGAGUAAAUAGAUCUCAUCAGAAGAAGGAGAGGCUUCUUGGGAAUGAUAAAACAACAAUUAAAGCAAGAACUGCCGGGCUGGCUGGGUGCCCCAAUGGCUGAAGAAAAGCCCAAGUAUAACUGCACUGUCAGUGAAGUCACAAUUGUGAACCUGCAGCCUGAGAAAAAUCCCAUUCUCGUCUUGGCAGGAGGAAAGCCAGGAAUUGAACGUAGGAACAUUGGCUUUAGACCUCCUUCUCCAAGGAUUUCAGAGAAGAUGUUAUCCCAGGGAGAGAAAAAAUUGUGGCCAGAAAAGGUGAAAAAAGAGGGAGCUUUGUCUCCCAUCCUGCAUCGUGUAAAUGAAUUGUGUGGCACAGAGAACAUCACCCUGAAGAGGCCAGUGAAGUUGGCCCCUCUAGAGAUCCCUGUGGAGGUGAAAGAAGCUCAGCUCCAAAAGAUUAUGAGCAUUAAGAGAGAAGCCCAAAUGGCUGCUCAGAAGCUGACAGUUAUCAACUCCAUCAGCAAUGAACCCCAUGUGAAAAGGGUAAAGAAUCUGGCUCAGGGGGAGCUGGAAAACCUUCAAAAGAUAAAGCUAAGUGAGAAGGCUGCUCUGGAGAAUAAAGAUGAUCCUCUACCCCCUAAAAGCAGUAAACCCCUGGGAGAAAUUCAAAUUAUUUUGCCUCCAGAGACAAAUUCCAAGUUGACUAAACAACUAGGUGUUGAAGAGGCUCCCAAAACACUCCGUAAACCAUUAAUCCCCACUCUCCAGGUUUCUGACAUGCACGAAGAGUCUAACACCUCUGACAGCAUCCCUGAUCCUUGCCAGAAUGUUUCUCAGCGCCGAUUCAGAGUAAGGCAUAUGAAAGAACAGCAAGAAGACCAUGGAAAAAACAAACCCUUAAAAGUCACAGAUCCAAGUGUGGGAGAAGGCAAGAAGAAAUCUGUGGGUCAACGAACACAAAAAACCCUCAGUGAUGCAAGCAAGCUCAUUGAAAAUGUGGCCAAAAAGCAGAAGGAACGAGGAGCAAAGCAAAGGGAAGUGGAUGAAGCCUCUUUUGUGAGGAAACAGUCUACUCGAAGGAUGGCCUUGGGAGACAUCAUCCAGGUGGAUGAAGACUGAGUGUCACACACCAUGUAAUGCAUAGGAACUUUAGAUACAACAGCUACCUAGAAAAAUGUUUUAGACUGACUGCUUAGACAGAAGUCUUCAGAGUGUCUGGAGACAUUAGUAGACCACAAAGUGAAAAUAAGUUAAUAUUGUUGAACACCUCUGUUAUUUCUGAGAUGCUCAAACAAGUGGUUUGUAGGGCAAAUAUCCUCCUCCUCUUCUCAACACUAGAAAGACUCCAGCUACAGUCCUGACUCCAGCAUGGAGUACAACUUUUCAAGACACAUGUGGACUAUGCAGGAAAAAUCUGGGUGUGGACUGGAUGGAGGGACCAAGAGAAAAACAGGAACCUGAAAAUAUUGUGUCUGGGGAAAGACGAGAAGAAAUAACAUAGUUUUCUCUUGAGAAUACAGCCCUCCUACCCUCCUACUUUCAGCUGUGGCAAGUUUGUUUCAGAAAGACAAGACUAAAAUGUUCUUCAUAUCCGUGGUUGGGAGAGCAAAAAGUAAUUAGCUUAAGAUUUAGAAAGAGACAUUUAAAUCAGAAAAGGAGGAAUACUUUUAAAGACAAUAAACAUGGAAGAAUGCUGUUUACA
rnacentral:lncRNA from 1 species